rnacentral:rRNA from 1 species
ACUGUUAGUUAAGUUCUUUAAACCCAAAGAAUUUGGCGGUAUCUCAUUCCAUUCAGAGGAACCUACCCCGUAAUUGAUAGUACACGAUUAACUUUACUUAAUUUAUUUGUUUGUAUAUCUCCGUUAUCAGAAAAUCUUUUUAGAGUUAUAAUUUUCUUGAUUUAUAAUUAUAAAAUAUUUCAGGUCAAGGUGCAGCUUAUAAUUAAGAGGAGGUGGGUUACAAUAGAUUUUUGUUUAUUACGAAUUUGAUGGUGAAAAACUUUCAAUGAAGGUGGAUUUGAUAGUAAUUUAAUUUAGUUAAUUUAAUUGAUAUUGGCUCUGAGGUGUGU